AAACUUAAAUGAAUUGACGGGGGCCCGCACAAGCGGUGGAGCAUGUGGUUUAAUUCGACGCAACGCGCAGAACCUUACCAGCCCUUGACAUGUCCAGGACCGGUCGCAGAGAUGUGACCUUCUCUUCGGAGCCUGGAGCACAGGUGCUGCAUGGCUGUCGUCAGCUCGUGUCGUGAGAUGUUGGGUUAAGUCCCGCAACGAGCGCAACCCCGUCCUUAGUUGCUACCAUUUAGUUGAGCACUCUAAGGAGACUGCCGGUGAUAAGCCGCGAGGAAGGUGGGGAUGACGUCAAGUCCUCAUGGCCCUUACGGGCUGGGCUACACACGUGCUACAAUGGCGGUGACAAUGGGAAGCAAAGGGGCAACCCCUAGCAAAUCUCAAAAAGCCGUCUCAGUUCGGAUUGGGCUCUGCAACCCGAGCCCAUGAAGUUGGAAUCGCUAGUAAUCGUGGAUCAGCAUGCCACGGUGAAUACGUUCCCGGGCCUUGUACACACCGCCCGUCACACCAUGGGAGUUGGUUUUACCCGAAGCCGGUGCGCUAACCGCAAGGAAGCAGCCGACCACGGUAGGGUCAGCGACUGGGGUGAAGUCGUAACAAGGUAGCCGUAGGGGAACCUGCGGCUGGAUCACCUCCUUUAUG
rnacentral:rRNA from 1 species